rnacentral:ribozyme from 1 species
AGGGAAGGGGAUCAUGCAUACAAUGGUCGGCAGGCAUAUAUUUCGCAGCUUUUCCAUUUUUCUCAUUUACUCGUAAAUCACUUACAUCAUUAUUUCAAAUACAUAUAUAUAA